rnacentral:rRNA from 1 species
AACCCUACGGACGCAGCAGUGAGGAAUAUUGGUCAAUGGGCGAGAGCCUGAACCAGCCAAGUCGCGUGAGGGAGUACUGCCCUAUGGGUUGUAAACCUCUUUUGUCGGGGAGCAAAAGCCGGACGUGUCCGGCUGUGAGAGUACCCGAAGAAAAAGCAUCGGCUAACUCCGUGCCAGCAGCCGCGGUAAUACGGAGGAUCCGAGCGUUAUCCGGAUUUAUUGGGUUUAAAGGGAGCGUAGAUGGGUUGUUAAGUCAGUUGUGAAAGUUUGCGGCUCAACCGUAAAAUUGCAAUUGAUACUGGCAG